UAUUUAUUAGUAUCCAAGGGGCAGGCAAGAGAAUGGUCUUGGACAGGCAAAAAGAUCAUAACAUGGUCAGAGUCCAGGAGGUACAGAGUGGCAGGCAGGCUUGAGGUCAGGGCAGUCAGUAUGGUCAGGCAGGCGGGUUCAGAGUCCAGGAGGUACAGAGUGGCAGGCAGGCUUGAGGUCAGGGCAGUCAGUAUGGUCAGGCAGGCAGGUUCAGAGUCCAGGAGGUACAGAGUGGCAGGCAGGCUUGAGGUCAGGGCAGUCAGUAUGGUCAGGCAGGCGGGUUCAGAGUCCAGGAGGUACAGAGUGGCAGGCAGGCUUGAGGUCAGGGCAGUCAGUAUGGUCAGGCAGGCGGGUUCAGAGUCCAGGAGGUACAGAGUGGCAGGCAGGCUUGAGGUCAGGGCAGUCAGUAUGGUCAGGCAGGCGGGUUCAGAGUCCAGGAGGUACAGAGUGGCAGGCAGGCUUGAGGUCAGGGCAGUCAGUAUGGUCAGGCAGGCGGGUUCAGAGUCCAGGAGGUACAGAGUGGCAGGCAGGCUUGAGGUCAGGGCAGUCAGUAUGGUCAGGCAGACGGGUUCAGAGUCCAGGAGGUACAGAGUGGCAGGCAGGCUUGAGGUCAGGGCAGUCAGUAUGGUCAGGCAGGCGGGUUCAGAGUCCAGGAGGUACAGAGUGGCAGGCAGGCUCAAGGUCAGAGCAGGCAGAAUGGUCAGGCAGGCGGGUUCAGAGUCAAGGCAGGCAAGGGUCAAAACCGGGAGGACUAGAAAAAACAGAGAAAAGGAAA